rnacentral:lncRNA from 1 species
ACUGCUUGAGCUUUAUCCAUUGAGUGCUAUUUAAGAUUCAAAAGUCUUGUGUUUUCUGUUGAUUUUAGGUUUGACAUAUUUGAUUAUUAUGUUCGUUAAAUUACGCAUUUGAUCUAUAUUAUAUUUCUUUAGCACUUAUUUAGAUCCUUGUCGUUCCUCCCAUAUUAGUUCGCGCUUCAGAUGUCCAAUCCUGAGUGUGAGAAGGUGUGUUCAAAAUAUCACAUUGACUAGAGAUAUGGUCUAUGUAACCUUUAUAUGGCUUUGAUAAUCCUCACCUUACAAAUUACAGGUUGGUUUUGUU